AGGUUAAAGAUACAGGAGAGUGGGAGGAAGAACCGACAAGUGAGGUUCCAGAGAGGGCAGGAGAAGAGGAGAUUCCCAUAGGGGGAUUAACACUUUCUUUUCUUUUUUCUUUCUAAGACAGGGUCUCACUCUGUCGCCCAGGCUGGAGUGCAGUGGCACAAUCUUGGCUCACUGUAGUGUAGACUUCCCAGGCUCAAGGGAUUUCUCCCACCCCAGACUCCCAGGUCUCACACUGUCACCCAGCCUGGAGUACAGUGGCACAACCUCUGCUCACUGCAGCCUCCACCUGCCAGGCUCAAGCAAUUCUCCUGCCUCAGCCUCCCGAGUAGCUGGGAUUACAGGUAAGUGCCACCACACCCAGCUGAUUUUUGUGUUUUUUGUAGAGACGAGGUUUCGCCGUGUUUCCCAGACUGUUCUCAAACUCCUGAGCUCAAAGCAGUCCACCCACCUUGGCCUCCCAGAGUGCUGGGAUUACAGUUGAAGCAUAUGUCCUGCGAGCUUAGGGGUGCUACAAGUUGACCACUGCAGCAGUAAAGAUGACUCUGAAGAAUGGCGUGGGAUGGAUCCUUUCAAAUGCACUUGAGCAGCGGUCUCCAACCACAGGGCCACAGAGCUGGAGGGUCUCCCUCUGUUGUCCAAGGCUGGAGGGUAGUACUGCUAUCGCAGCUGAUUGCAGCCUCAACCUUCCAGGCUGAAGCGAUCCUCCCAUCUCAACCUCCCACGUGGCUGAGACUACAGGUGCUUGCCACUAUGCCCAACUAAUACUUGGAAUUUUCGUAUACGUGGAUUCCAGAGAGGUGACAGCGAAACGUGGGAACAUCCAGUUUCAGGAAAACAAGCUUAACACGCCCACUGAUUCUACAUUAUGCUCCUACCUCCCGGCAACCUCGCCAGGCCCAGAACUCUCUCCAGUCAGCCUCUACAGACCAAGCUCAUGACUCACAAUGGCCUAUUUAGGCCCAUACCCUACCUCACGGCAGUCUCCGCAGAUGAGCCUACUGCCUCACAACAGCCUCCACAGGCACAGCUCCAUCGUUACAAUGGCCUCUUUAGACCCAGCUCCUGCCGCCCAGCCUUCUCUCCAGGCCCUGAACUUUCUCCGUGGGACCAUCCAGUUUCAGGAAAACAAGCUUAACACGCCCACUGAUUCUACAUUAUGCUCCUACCUCCCGGCAGCCUCGCCAGGCCCAGAACUCUCUCCAGUCAGCCUCUACAGACCAAGCUCAUGACUCACAAUGGCCUAUUUAGGCCCAUACCCUACCUCACGGCAGUCUCCGCAGAUGAGCCUACUGACUCACAACAGCCUCCACAGGCACAACUCCAUCGUUACAAUGGCCUCUUUAGACCCAGCUCCUGCCGCCCAGCCUUCUCUCCAGGCCCUGAACUUUCUCCGUGGGACCAUCCAGUUUCAGGAAAACAAGCUUAACACGCCCACUGAUUCUACAUUAUGCUCCUACCUCCCGGCAGCCUCGCCAGGCCCAGAACUCUCUCCAGUCAGCCUCUACAGACCAAGCUCAUGACUCACAAUGGCCUAUUUAGGCCCAUACCCUACCUCACGGCAGUCUCCGCAGAUGAGCCUACUGACUCACAACAGCCUCCACAGGCACAACUCCAUCGUUACAAUGGCCUCUUUAGACCCAGCUCCUGCCGCCCAGCCUUCUCUCCAGGCCUUGAACUUUCUCCGUGGGACCAUCCAGUUUCAGGAAAACAAGCUUAACACGCCCACUGAUUCUACAUUAUGAUUCUUCAGGCCCAGCAUCUGCCUCACUGUGGACCCCCCAAGCCAAGCUCCCAACCUUUCAGCAGCUUCUACACACCCAGCUCCCGCCUGCCAGUGGCCUCUUCAGGCCCAUGGGGCUCAUUCCUCACAACAGCCUUUCCAGUCCCAGUUUUUCCCUUCCGGCGGCCUCUCCGGGCUGAGAACCUCCUCAAGUCGGCCUCUCCAGACUCACUUGCACCCUCCAGGCGUCCUCUCCGGGCCAAGCUCCUCUUCCUGGCUGCGUCUCCAGGCCCGACUCCUGCCUCUCAGCAACCUCUUUGGACUCAGUGCCUACCCAUCUCCUGGCGUCCUUGGUCGGCCCAUAGCUUCCUCAAGCCAAGCUCCCCAGGCCCAGGUCAGGCCUCACGGUGCCCCCUCCACGAUGAGCUCCUGCCCUCCAAUGGCACCUGCAGGACCCAAAUGGUCUCCGGUCGGUGGGCUCCUCCACGCCAAGCUUGGGCCUCCCGGUGACCUCUGCAGGCCCAAGUUGUCCUGAAGUCGGCAUCUCCCAGCCAUGCCUCCCAGCAAGUAAGCAAGCUCUUUUGGCUCAACUCCUGCCCAGCUCCCAACCGCCUUUGUAGGUCCCGAACUUUCUCCAGCCAAGUUCUUUGGGCCUCAUUCCUGCCGCCCGGUGGCCUGUACGGGCCCAGCAAUGGUUGGAGAACGGCCUCUGCAGGUCCCGCUCUUGCCUCCCAGGG